UACGUAGGGGGCAAGCGUUGUCCGGAUUUAUUGGGCGUAAAGCGCGUGUAGGCGGCCAGGCAGGUCCGCUGUGAAAACUCGAGGCUCAACCUCGAGAGGUCGGUGGAAACCGUCUGGCUAGAGUCCGGAAGAGGAGAGUGGAAUUCCCGGUGUAGCGGUGAAAUGCGCAGAUAUCGGGAAGAACACCCGUGGCGAAGGCGGAUCUCUGGGCCAUAACUGACGCUGAGGAGCGAAAGCAUGGGGAGCGAACAGG
rnacentral:rRNA from 1 species